GCUAUGCUUUAGUUGGAGCUAUGGGUUAAAUUUUAAGCAACUCACAGCUUUAAAAAAAAAAAUGUAUUUAAUAAAAAUUAUAAAUAUAACCUUUGAUAAACCUACACUGACCAUUUCGAACACGUUUUGAUUCCAAAAAAAAAAAAGACUGCUCGGUAAGAUGUAUUUCCAGCUCUAGUGCUAAGUCGGGAGUUUCACGGGAGCACUUGAAGGCAGCAGCAGUAAGCCUCCAGUAAGCGUUUCUGUUUUUUCCACCAUCUGGCCGGGCAGCCUGUCAGCUGAGCUCAGUGAAUUCAUCCCGCCAGCAGAGCGCGUCCCUGCGCCUCGUACAGAAAGUGGAGAUGCCUCCUACCGGAGCACAGAUCUACUCCCCGUUUUCCGUGAAACUGUGAAAAGGAAAAGCCCAGUUGUUUGUUUUUUAACAGUCAGAAAGCUCAUGCUCUGCGAGCUUCCUCCACCACCUACACAGCUCAAAUAGGACUCUCCCAGGAUGCUGUCGAACAGCCCACACGUCGGUCACAAAGUGGCAGGCUGUUUGCUUUUCCUCUCUUUCUUUCACCUUGCUGCUGGCAGCUCAGGAAAAGACACAGAGACCAAAUGGUCAGCACAGAAGAUCUGCUGCUGCAUGAAAGAGGAUUCCCCAACUGACUUCAAACAGCUGCGCUCAUCAGAUCCGAAUAAAUCUGCACGGCUCGUGUGGUGUGUGAUAUGGG
ensembl:lncRNA